GUGAGGAAUAUUGGUCAAUGGGCGCAAGCCUGAACCAGCCAUCCCGCGUGCAGGAAGACGGCCCUAUGGGUUGUAAACUGCUUUUCCGGGGGGAGAAUUUUUCCGUCGUGACGGGAAUUGACGGUACCCCGGGAAUAAGCAUCGGCUAACUCCGUGCCAGCAGCCGCGGUAAUACGGAGGAUGCGAGCGUUAUCCGGAUUUAUUGGGUUUAAAGGGUGCGUAGGCGGAAUGAUAAGUCAGUGGUGAAAACCUGCAGCUUAACUGUAGACUUGCCGUUGAUACUGUCAGUCUUGAGUGUGGUCAAGGUAGGCGGAAUGUGUAAUGUAGCGGUGAAAUGCUUAGAUAUUACACAGAACACCGAUUGCGAAGGCAGCUUACUGGGCCAUUACUGACGCUGAUGCACGAAAGCGUGGGGAUCGAACAGGAUUAGAAACCCGAGUAGUCC
rnacentral:rRNA from 1 species